UACGUAGGUGACAAGCGUUAUCCGGAUUUAUUGGGCGUAAAGCGCACGCAGGCGGCUGAUUAAGUCUGACGUGAAAUCUCCCGGCUUAACCGGGAGCGGUCGUUGGAAACUAAUUGGCUUGAGGCGAUGAGAGGGGUGUGGAAUUCCCGGUGUAGUGGUGGAAUGCGUAGAUAUCGGGAGGAACAUCAGUGGCGAAAGCGGCACCCUGGCAUUAGCCUGACGCUCAUGUGCGAAAGCGUGGGGAGCGAACGGG
rnacentral:rRNA from 1 species